rnacentral:rRNA from 1 species
AGUGAACGCUGGCGGCGUGCUUAACACAUGCAAGUCGAACGAGAACGGAUUAUAGCUUGCUAUAAUUGUCAGCUAAGUGGCGCACGGGUGAGUAAUGUAUAGGUAAUAUGCCUCUUACUAGGGAAUAACAAAUGGAAACGUUUGCUAAUACCUUAUACUCCUUAUUAACAGAAGUUAAUAAGGGAAAGAUUUAUUGGUAAGAGAUUAGCCUGUAUUGUAUCAGUUAGUUGGUGGGGUAAUGGCUUACCAAGACUAUGACACGUAACUGGUUUGAGAGGAUGAUCAGUCACACUGGAACUGAGACACGGUCCAGACUCCUACGGGAGGCAGCAGUGGGGAAUAUUGCACAAUGGACGAAAGUCUGAUGCAGCAACGCCGCGUGGAGGAUGACACAUUUCGGUGCGUAAACUCCUUUUAUAUGAGAAGAUAAUGACGGUAUUAUAUGAAUAAGCACCGGCUAACUCCGUGCCAGCCGCCGCAGUAA